GAUGAACGCUGGCGGCGUGCCUAAUACAUGCAAGUCGAGCGAACGGACGAGAAGCUUGCUUCUCUGAUGUUAGCGGCGGACGGGUGAGUAACACGUGGAUAACCUACCUAUAAGACUGGGAUAACUUCGGGAAACCGGAGCUAAUACCGGAUAAUAUUUUGAACCGCAUGGUUCAAAAGUGAAAGACGGUCUUGCUGUCACUUAUAGAUGGAUCCGCGCUGCAUUAGCUAGUUGGUAAGGUAACGGCUUAGCAAGGCAACGAUGCAUAGCCGACCUGAGAGGGUGAUCGGCCACACUGGAACUGAGACACGGUCCAGACUCCUACGGGAGGCAGCAGUAGGGAAUCUUCCGCAAUGGGCGAAAGCCUGACGGAGCAACGCCGCGUGAGUGAUGAAGGUCUUCGGAUCGUAAAACUCUGUUAUUAGGGAAGAACAUAUGUGUAAGUAACUGUGCACAUCUUGACGGUACCUAAUCAGAAAGCCACGGCUAACUACGUG
rnacentral:rRNA from 1 species